GGCCCGGUCGCGGAUGGUCUGCACCCGUGAAUCAUGAGGGUUGUGUAACACAUGUUACGGGAGUCGCUCGUUCGAUUCGAGCCCGGGCCA